rnacentral:snRNA from 1 species
CCAUCUCUCUUCGCCUUAUUGGCUUUGAUUUUGUGUAGUAACUGUUCUAGUAUUAUUAACAUAAUACUGGAGGGUCUUCCCUCCUUAUGUUAACACAUUUUUUGAAACUGGAGAGUUCCUCUGUGCUUGCACAUGAACACUCACGCAUGGUCAAGGCAUUUCACGCACCGCCUUGUACCGUGCACACCCC